AGGAGCAGGAGGGGCCCGAGCGACGCGACGCAGCGUCCGGCGAGGCCUGGUGGGCGCUGCCGGCAGCCGCGGGCGACGCCGGCAGACCCCCGGGACCUGGGUUUUCCAAAAGCGGUUUUUAAAACUCCCGAACGGACUUUUCAUUGAGCUUCCGGCCUCCGUUGACGCUCUUCCCUCCCCCCAGUCUCCGGACCUGGUGGUUCUUGCCUGAUGAGACUUCCAGAACUACAUGAAAUCAAUUAUGCAAACUGUGAACCUUGAUGACCCCAACUGCCACCGUCUGCCUCAUGUCACGGACAGCGAAGCGACCUAGGACACAGGACAUGAGGAAACAAAUGGGGAAUGCUACCAAGGCACGAGCUAGGACACUUGUACGGGAGGCCAAAGCAUGUUUUAAAGUCAGAGUGACGCAGGGCCAAAUGACAGAGCGCCUAGGCAGGCAUGUGGACCACUGGCACAUGGUCAGCAAGCCCUCAAUCAGUAGUAGCAAACACAUAAAGUAACAGAGAAAUUAACUGACUGGCCCAAGAUCAUAUAAUUAAUAAACAGCAGAGUCAGGAUUUGAACCCAAAGCAUCAGACUCCAGUUCAAACUCUCAACCACUACCUUAUGUUAAAGGUUAAACCAGUAUCUAUGGCUGAUAAUUACUCAUGACACCCUGGAAAAGUUGAGCUUCUUUCAGCACUGGUGAAAAUGAGACUACCUAAAGGUGGUGGCAUAUUCAAGUUAGCAUGCUUGUUCAGGGAAUACUCUACCACUUGCCAGCUCACGGGACCUGGGCAUCUGUUCAUUUUAGCUCUAAUUAGAGGGCAGAGUAGAGAACAAGAAAGACCAGAGACCAGGUGGCACCCCCCAAGAACACUAAUUAGGUUAUUAAAAGAUAGAAUUAGAACCCAGGUGUCCUAACUUUUGUCACUGUAGGAACGUCUAUAAAAUCCAUUGUAGUUUAGAAUAUUUAUUAGAUAAGCAGCUAUCAAAGAGUGGUCCGGAGACCCUGAUACCUUUUAGAGUUUGCAAGGUCAAAACUGUUGUUUAUAUAUGAAGACAUUAUUUGCCUCCCCCGCCCUCACUCUCUCACCAUUGUGUAGUCUUUUCUAGAGGUUACAUGACAUGUGAAAUCACAACAGACUGAUUGCAGAAGGUGGGAAUCCAGCUGUCUUCUAUUAAGCCAGGCGUUAAAGCUAUCAGCAAAAAUGUAAAACAGUGCCACCCUCCCAACAUUUUUUGUUUUGGAAAAUAGUUAAGUAUCACACUUUGUAUGAAAAAUAUGUUAACAUAUUAAGAGCUUAUUACUAUUA